AGCGAACGCUGGCGGCAGGCCUAACACAUGCAAGUCGAACGAUCCUUCGGGAUAGUGGCGGACGGGUGAGUAACACGUGGGAACGUGCCCUUUGGUUCGGAACAACUCAGGGAAACUUGAGCUAAUACCGAAUGUGCCCUUCGGGGGACAGAUUUAUCGCCAUUGGAGCGGCCCGCGUCUGAUUAGCUAGCUGGUGAGGUAAUGGCUCACCAAGGCGACGAUCAGUAGCUGGUCUGAGAGGAUGAUCAGCCACACUGGGACUGAGACACGGCCCAGACUCCUACGGGAGGCAGCAGUGGGGAAUCUUGCGCAAUGGGCGAAAGCCUGACGCAGCCAUGCCGCGUGAAUGAUGAAGGUCUUAGGAUUGUAAAAUUCUUUCACCGGGGACGAUAAUGACGGUACCCGGAGAAGAAGCUCCGGCUAACUUCGUGCCAGCCGCCGCAGUAACAC
rnacentral:rRNA from 1 species